CUGAGGGGGCAGAGCGGCACCUGAGGGGGCAGAGCGGCACCUGAGGGAUUCCAGAAGGUUCUGGAAGAGCCGAGUGAAGGCCGCAGGAGGGAAUGCUGGAGCCUCUGCAGUGCUGCUGACCUGUGCCAGCCCCUCUCCCUCUGGAGUGACCCAUCAGCGGCCCCUGCUUCAGCCCCACUGCUGCGUUCAGCUGGAUUUACCUGGAGUGAGGAGAGCAGGGAAAGGAGAGAGAUGCUGUCGAUGUGAGAUGUGCACAGCGAGUGAUUCCUGAAGUAAGAAGAGUCUUGAGAAUGUGAGUAAUAAACAGCUUCUAAAAUCUUUUGGAAAAUAACCCAGGAAACUCUUGUGAGCAGCACCACAGCU
rnacentral:lncRNA from 1 species